rnacentral:rRNA from 1 species
UGGGGAGCAAACAGGAUUAGAUACCCUGGUAGUCCACGCCCUAAACGAUGAAUGCUAGUUGUUGUGGUGCUAGUCACUGCAGUAAUGCAGCUAACGCAAUAAGCAUUCCGCCUGGGGAGUACGGUCGCAAGAUUAAAACUCAAAGGAAUAGACGGGGACCCGCACAAGCGGUGGAGCAUGUGGUUUAAUUCGAAGAUACGCGAAGAACCUUACCUGGGCUUGACAUCCCGAGAACCGACCAGAGAUGGUUGGGUGCUGCUUCGGUAGAACUCGGUGACAGGUGCUGCACGGCUGUCGUCAGCUCGUGUCGUGAGAUGUUGGGUUAAGUCCCGCAACGAGCGCAACCCUCGUCCUUAGUUGCCAGCACUUAGGGUGGGCACUCUAAGGAGACUGCCUGGGUAACCAGGAGGAAGGUGAGGACGACGUCAAGUCAUCAUGGCCCUUAUGUCCAGGGCGACACACGUGCUACAAUGGCGUGUACAAUGAGAGGCGAUACCGCGAGGUGGAGCAAAUCUAUAAAACACGUCCCAGUUCGGAUUGCAGUCUGCAACUCGACUGCAUGAAGUUGGAAUCGCUAGUAAUCGUAGGUCAGCCAUGCUACGGUGAAUACGUUCCCGGGCCUUGUACUCACCGCCCGUCACACCAUGGGAGUUGAUUUCACCCGAAGCGGGGAAGCUAAACCGGCUACCUGCCACGGUGGGAUCAGCGACUGGGGUGAAGUCGUAACAAGGUA